AUUGGCAAAAGGGCAAAGCAAGAGAGAAACGUUUCUACAGCAACAGAACCAGAAAGGAGAGAGAGAGAGAAUCUCCAGAGAAUCUUCUUCGCACGAUUGCCUUCUCUGCCUUCUCAGUUGACAGUGCUGCUGCAUCUCCAGCCAUCCAGUUUAUCUGAAGUUUUAUUUGCAUUGGAGGUUUUUGCUUUUUGAUUGGCAGUGGAGUGGCAGAAAAGCUGAAGCAAUGCAUUUGUGAAGAAAAGUGGUGACUUUCAGGCUCUCAAAACAUUUCUGAUUAAGAAAUCGCAACUUUUGAGGGCAUAUCUGUGCCCGUUCUUCCUGGCCAACAAUAAACUCUUCCACCCAACAAUGCAUUAAUCCCAGCUCUCAAGGUCACCGAGUCAGUCAACUCUUUGUCUCUUCUUGGGAACCAAAGAUGUUUUCACACUUGUUGUUUCCUCACCUAAAACCCAUUGUGAAAUCCCAGCUGACAGGAUUUAAACCAUCAAAGAUUGGAGCUCAGGCAAGCCAGGUAAUCAAACACACGGUUCAGUGGAGCAGAAAAGACAGCAAAGUUGUGAAAUGAGAAUACUUUUCCUAACCCGACAGUUUGAAGACUGCUGGAUUCUCACCCUUCACCAAGCAAUAUAAUAAGAGAGUCAUUGCCAUUCACCUGGGGAUGGGGAAAAAUCUAGAUUUGGGGAGGGUAACCGUAUUAAAAUCAAUAACAUGUCUGAAUGUUCCAAAAAUAAAACUUCUCAAGGAUUGCACUAGA